rnacentral:rRNA from 1 species
GGGCCCGCACAAGCGGUGGAGUAUGUGGUUUAAUUCGAUGAUACGCGAGGAACCUUACCAGGGCUUAAAUGUAAGUUGCAUUAGUUAGAGAUAGCUAUUUCUUCGGACUACUUACAAGGUGCUGCAUGGUUGUCGUCAGCUCGUGCCGUGAGGUGUCAGGUUAAGUCCUAUAACGAGCGCAACCCCUGUUGUUAGUUGCCAUCGAGUCAUGUCGGGAACUCUAACAAGACUGCCGGUGCAAACCGUGAGGAAGGUGGGGAUGACGUCAAAUCAUCACGGCCCUUACGUCCUGGCUACACACGUGCUACAAUGGUAGGUACAGAGGGAAGCCACUACGCGAGUAGGAGCG